UACGAAGGGGGCGAGCGUUGUUCGGAAUUACUGGGCGUAAAGGGCGCGCAGGCGGCUCUGAAAGUCAGAUGUGAAAGCCCCGGGCUUAACCUGGGAAUUGCAUUUGAUACUCUGGAGCUUGAGUACGGGAGAGGAGGAGUGGAAUUCCCGAGUGUAGAGGUGAAAUUCGAUAGAUAUCAGGAGGAACACCGAGUGGCGAAGGCAGGUCUGCUGGCUGACACGUGACGCUCAUGCACGGAAAGCGUGGGGAGCAAACAGG
rnacentral:rRNA from 1 species